AUAUGCAGUCACGCAAAUAACGGUAGUGACGUAAUAAUCGAUAGAUGUUGCUAAGGAAAAGGAUUAGUUUUGCCGAUGUUAUUUGUCUAAAUCACGCUGAAAGCACCGGUUCUUUCUGAUACCUAUGAGAAGCAAUGUUAGACACGAUCAAAAAAUCACCGAUUGAAGGCCUGUGUCAGGAUGCGAACCCAGCACCUACCAGCCUUAAGGACCAUGCGACCGAGACAGGUUAAAGAACGACAGUUCACUAUGUUUGGCGUGUCGCGGCUUGUCAAGUCUCCUAUUAAACACAUUCAGUGUAAUAACGACGUGUGUUUGUUUGUCUGGACUUUUGGAAACACCUAUUGAUUACACGUCAAAUUAGAAACGGAUAUUUAAUAGUGAAGUAAGAGUAUAAAUACACAGGAAUGUUGUCCGUGCAAACAACUUUUGGCCUUCUGAACCGCCAAUAAAAACAGAGCAGUUUAAAAGAUGCUCCAUAAUACGA